CGGUAGAUUCUGUACUAUGAAUGAUUACCCAACCCCGUCAGGACCGGAAGGUAGCAGCGGUAAGUAAUUUUUUCAUGAGAUACAGGUGAUUUACCGGCU
rnacentral:SRP_RNA from 1 species